AACGAACGCUGGCGGCAUGCCUAACACAUGCAAGUCGAACGAGACCUUCGGGUCUAGUGGCGCACGGGUGCGUAACGCGUGGGAACCUGCCCUUAGGUUCGGAAUCACUCCCCGAAAGGGGUGCUAAUACCGGAUAAUGUCUUCGGACCAAAGAUUUUUCGCCUUUGGAUGGGCCCGCGUUGGAUUAGCUAGUUGGUAGGGUAAAAGCCUGCCAAGGCGACGAUCCAUAGCUGGUCGGAGAGGAUGAUCAGCCACACUGGGACUGAGACACGGCCCAGACUCCUACGGGAGGCAGCAGUGUGGAAUAUUGGACAAGGAGCGAAAGCCUAAUCCAGCAAUGCGGCGUGAGUGAUGAAGGCCGUAGGGUUGUAAAGCUGUUUGACCCGGGAUGAUAAUGACAGUACCGGGAGAAGAAGCUCCGGCUAACUCCGUG
rnacentral:rRNA from 1 species